UGGUGCAGUGGUUAAAGCACUUGGCUGCUAACCAAAAGGUGGGUGGUUCGAAUCCACC
rnacentral:tRNA from 1 species